rnacentral:sRNA from 1 species
GAGGGAUUCAGCACUCGGAGCGUGCCUUCCGACGCGCGGAGCCAUGGCAGCCCUGCUGCUGCUGCUGUUGCUGCCAGUCGGCCCAGCCCCUCUGGUGGCGACACUGUGCUGCCCAAAUCCAUCAGCAGUGCCCAUGAUACCAGGGGUUCCAGCGUCCCUGAAAAUGAUCGGUUGGCUUCCAUAGCUGCUGAAUUGCAGUUUAGGUCCCUGAGUCGUCACUCAAGCCCCACGGAGGAGCGAGACGAACCAGCAUAUCCAAGAGGAGAUUCAAGUGGGUCCACAAGAAGAAGUUGGGAACUUCGGACACUAAUCAGCCAGAGUAAAGAUAGUGCUUCUAAACUAGGACCCAUAGAAGCUAUCCAGAAGUCAGUCCGAUUGUUUGAAGAAAAGAGGUACCGAGAAAUGAGGAGAAAGAAUAUCAUUGGUCAAGUUUGUGAUACGCCUAAGUCGUAUGAUAAUGUUAUGCAUGUUGGCUUGAGGAAGGUGACCUUCAAGUGGCAAAGAGGAAACAAAAUUGGAGAAGGCCAGUAUGGGAAGGUGUACACCUGCAUCAGCGUCGACACCGGGGAGCUGAUGGCCAUGAAGGAGAUUCGAUUUCAACCUAAUGACCAUAAGACUAUCAAGGAAACUGCAGAUGAAUUGAAGAUAUUCGAAGGCAUCAAACACCCCAAUCUGGUUCGGUAUUUUGGUGUGGAGCUCCAUAGAGUAAGCCGGCCCUAAUGCCACUCUGUGUGUGAGGAGUCAGUGAGGGUACAGAAUGGAGUCCUGUUCUACAUCAC